UUACGGAUGUAUCCAAGAACGAUUUCAUCAGUAACUUUGUUCCCAUCUUGGUCAGUAACGUUGAAGACAUCCAUGAACCAGCCACCAUCAGAGGAGAUGUAAGCUUUCUUGAUUGUGAGGUUAAGAUCAGUCAAGACUUGAACAACUUCCAGAAGAAUCCCAUGUUUAUUCGCACUAUCCACCUAAUAAACCCACAAAUCAAAACGUAUUUAUCAAACUAAAAAUCAAAACCUAAUCUCAGAGAAGACUCCAAAGUUACCUUAAUGACGGUAACGUUCUUGCAGACUUCGUUAUCGAUCACAACCCUUGGAGGAUUCACUCUUCUGAUAAACUUAGCAAUCUCAUCAUCCAUAUGGUAUGAAUAGCUCAAGCAGACAUCUGAAACAACAAUCAAAACCAUCAGAUUCGAUCAUACCCUAACAUUCUGAAACGAAACAGAGACUAAACCUAGAACACGAUUAUAAACCAACCCAUGAUAGAAAGACCUAAAAUUUAACAAACCCAUAAUGAAAAGACCUAAAAUUGAACAAACCCAGAUACGGAAACUAAUCAUCAGAGCCAUAACUGGAUCAAUCAAUCAAUCAAUCAAUCAUCAAAUCGAAAUCGGAAAAAACAGAGAGAAGUGACGAACCCAUAUUCGAUUCGUUGGUGAUUCGUUAGAAGAAAGAAUCGAAAGAGGGGAAUUGAUGAUCGAUCGAUGUAUCUGGAGGAGGAAGAAGACGAAGACGAUCGCAACUGUAAUUGCCAGAGAGUAUAAAGUUUGUUAAAUUUAUAUAUAAAAGAGAGAGAUUAUUAAUUUUAAUUUUAAUCUAAAAAGGGUUAAAUUACUUGACACUGUGCUCUGUGUCUGACACAGAUUCUCCUCAAAACCUGCAAAAAAAAAAUCAAUUUAUUUUCUGUUAAGUUUGUGAUUGUGAUGAGGAGGCAGAUGAGGAGGGGUCUACUCAUAAAUACACUUGGCCAGCCGCCCUUCGUUUUCAGGGAAAGAUUAGAUUUGUAAACCGGUCGGUUUACGAGAUCCUUCUUUCAAUGGUGGUAGAUUUCGAGAUAAUGACGUUUCUCUUAGCUGGGUAGCAAAUUACUGACAAUUUUUUUUCUGGGAUCUCAAUUGGGAUACAUAUUGAUGAGAUUUUUACGAGUUACACUGCAGUUAUUGGGGGGGGGGGGGGGGGGGGGGGGUGUUGGACCAAUGGUUGAUCUAGGGCUGUAGCAAGAAGAGUCAUCAGGGCCAAGAGACUGCACACAAGAAAAGCAGUUAAUAAACCAUAUCAUUAAAUGUAGAAGAAGAGGUUGAUGAUGGCUUUCUACUUACUUUACGGAUGUAUCCAAGAACGAUUUCAUCAGUAACUUUGUUCCCAUCUUGGUCAGUAACGUUGAAGACAUCCAUGAACCAGCCACCAUCAGAGGAGAUGUAAGCUUUCUUGAUUGUGAGGUUAAGAUCAGUCAAGACUUGAACAACUUCCAGAAGAAUCCCAUGUUUAUUCGCACUAUCCACCUAAUAAACCCACAAAUCAAAACGUAUUUAUCAAACUAAAAAUCAAAACC
rnacentral:lncRNA from 1 species